UGACACGCCUCUUUUAAACAAAAGUAAGAAAUACAAGGAGGAAUGAGAUCUUUACCAUGCUACUGCCUGGUGUGUUGUCUUGCUGGAAUGGUACAGGAAGUGAAUCCCAAAAGUACUGUUAGAGCAUAAAACCCUGCCCUCAGCUUGUUCACUUAUUUCUUUCAGCAUCCAUUCACCAUCAGCUUUGAAGCCGCAACCAAAGACUCAACUAUGGCUGCAGUGCAGAACUUGGAAAAUAUGAAAGGAAAUUCUGUUGACCCACCACCUCCAGGAGAACCUAUGAUAAAACCUUCUUCUCCACAGCCUCAUUUUCAACCACAACCCGACCCCCAAAUACCAUGCCAACCUCAUCCACAACCCCCACCACAAUACCAUCCUCAUCCACAACCCCUGCCACAAUACCAUCCUCAUCCACAACCCCUGCCACAAUACCAUCCUCAUCUACAACCCCAACCACAAUACCAACCUCAUCUACAACCUGAACCUCAUCCACAACCUCCACCUCAACUUCAAUACCAACUUCAGGCACCAGUGCAAGCACAACCCCAGCCCCAACUUCAGAUUCAGGCACAACCUCAAGCUGUGCCACAAUUCCAAACUCAAGUUGUCAAUAGUAACUUGGGAGAGUAUGCCUGUCAAACAACCUGUUCCAAUUGCCAUCAGAGGAUUACAACUUGUGUAACAUAUAAGCCUGGAGCUUUUUCUUUGGCGAUGAGCCUUGUGUUUGUCGUGUUUGGGCUGAUUUGUGGAUGCUGCCUUAUUCCAUUUUUUGUGGAUAGCUUCCAAGAUGUCUAUCACAGCUGUCCAUUGUGCAAUGCUCAACUCCAUGUUCACAAAAGGAUGUAAACCAAAGAUAUAACAGCAGAGCUAAAUGUAACUAAGAAAAGUACUUACUGUGUUGUAGAAAAUUUAUGUUAUCUAGAUAGACUGCGGG
rnacentral:lncRNA from 1 species